GACAGGGGACAGGACAGGGGACAGGACAGGGGACAGAGGGAUGAGGGCAGGACAGGGGGCAGGACAGGGGACAGAGGGAGGGGGGCAUGGGCUGGCUUGCUCUCCUGUGCCACCCAGGGCAGAGCAGGACAGGGCAGAGCAACACACAGCAUGGCCACACCAGCCCCCAGCUCCGCAGAGGGGCUGCAGGGAGGAAGGAUGAGACCUGCCACAGCAGCUCCUGGGACAGGAGGGAACUGGGGCAAGGAGCUGCUCUCCAGAGGGCUGAUGUCACAGAACCGAUCUGUGCCAAGGCACCGGCGCUGCAUGAGGGCACCAGCGCUGCUGCUGAGCGCGCCGGGGCUCUCGGCUCCCGCGGCCGGGCCCGGUGCCGCAGCGCUGGGGACCCUCCCAGCACGGGGACGAGCGGACACGGCCGUGUCCCCCUCGAACGCUCCCGCGGCUGUGUCCGAGGCGAGGGGGCUGCGGCAAUCCCGCUCAGCGCUGCGCCCCUCCGCUCCCCUCGCCCGCGCUGCCCCAUCAGCAGUAACAGUCUGAUUAAUUCGCUUCCAGCAGGGAGCUGAUGGGGCCAAUGAUGGAGCCGCUGCAUCAGGCGCGCUGAAAUUGAUAGUUUUUCACAGUUACAAAUGAGGAGCCUCCUCAGCUGCAAAUGGCGCCCGCACAGUCGGACUCCGUGCGGCGGCAGAGCCAGGAACGAAGGAGUGAUGAAUGCAGCACAAAAGCAUUUAUUUUCCAAUUCGGCAAAGUGGCUACGUUGGGAAAUGUAUGAAUUAUUUUAAUUCA